rnacentral:lncRNA from 1 species
CUAUUUCUUAAUAAGUAUUUCGUCCUACUGAUUGGGAGAGCAUGGCCUGGGGAAUGAGGGGGUAUUUUGAAUCUGAGUGUGUUCACGAGUCCUUUGUUCACCUCUCUCCUGUGCUUUGGGCUUCUUAGCAGCCUUUGGCACUAAUCCUGGGCUUAAGGUCUGUUUUGCUGUCUCUUAGCUGUUGGAGCCAGCAGACCUGACUGGAGAGAACUGGAUGAUGAGCUCAUGAAAGAAGCUGUGCUGUACGUGGAUUCCCAGGAGGCUGCCCUGAAGGAGUCUGGAGAUGUCCUGCUGUCAGGGGCCGAGAUCUUUGCUGAGCUGGGAGAAGUGAUUAAGGGAGUGAAACCAGCCCACUGUGAGAAGACCACCGUGUUCAAGUCUUUGGGUAAGAUCCAUUGCUCCCUGGGCACAAAUCCAACUAGCGCACAAGGCAGGUUCACCCAUUGGUGGAAAGAGCAAUGAGUCACCAGACUCUGCAGCUGAAUCAUUGUGCUCCAUCAUUCAGGUCAAUUAUUUACAUGGUUUAGCCUAGUGCUAAGCCCAUGAACUCUGGAAC